UACGUAGGUGGCAAGCGUUGUUCGGAAUUACUGGGCGUAAAGGGCUCGUAGGCGGCCAACUAAGUCAGACGUGAAAUCCCUCGGCUUAACCGGGGAACUGCGUCUGAUACUGGAUGGCUUGAGGUUGGGAGAGGGAUGCGGAAUUCCAGGUGUAGCGGUGAAAUGCGUAGAUAUCUGGAGGAACACCGGUGGCGAAGGCGGCAUCCUGGACCAAUUCUGACGCUGAGGAGCGAAAGCCAGGGGAGCAAACGGG
rnacentral:rRNA from 1 species